UUGACGGGGGCCCGCACAAGCAGCGGAGCGUGUGGUUUAAUUCGAUGAUACACGAAGAACCUUACCAAGGUUUGACAUGCAAGUGGUAGGAAGCCGAAAGGUGACCGACCCUUCGGGGAGCUUGCACAGGUGCUGCAUGGCUGUCGUCAGCUCGUGUCGUGAGAUGUUCGGUUAAGUCCGCUAACGAGCGCAACCCUCGCUGUGUGUUAUAUGUGUCACACGGGACUGCCGGUCUUAAGCCGGAGGAAGGUGGGGAUGAUGUCAAGUCAGCAUGGCCUUUAUAUCCUGGGCUACACACACGCUACAAUGGCCAACACAAUAGGUUGCUAAGCCGCGAGGUGGCGCCAAUCCAUAAAGUUGGUCUCAGUUCAGAUUGUAGGCUGCAACCCGCCUGCAUGAAGAUGGAGUUGCUAGUAACCGCAGGUCAGCUAUACUGCGGUGAAUACGUUCCCGGGGCUU
rnacentral:rRNA from 1 species